rnacentral:lncRNA from 1 species
CCCAUGACUUUUUUUUUCCUGCUAACCGUUUUUUUUCUUAUUUUGAUUGAUUUCGUUUUGCCGGUUUCUGAAUUAGGGCGGGGGAUUUGGGCGUACUGUUCAUAGACAUCCCUUUUCUUAAUGUUUGUUUUCAGUCCUACCAGUUUAUUUUGCUUUUAAAAUAUUGUCAAAUGUUUCGUUGAUCUUUUAAAGUUAUUUAAAGACCCUGUGGAUAUGCAAGUCAGGACAAAAUACGCCUUUGCCAUUGCCGGCGUUGCUGACCCUUGCUGAGAGGUUUUGUUGGGUUGCUG